GAUGAACGCUAGCGGCAGGCCUAACACAUGCAAGUCGAGGGAGAGGUUAUCUUCGGGUAACCAAAACCGGCGCACGGGUGCGUAACGCGUAUACAAUCUGCCUUUCACAUAGGGAUAGCCCGAAGAAAUUUGGAUUAAUACCUAAUGGUAUAUAGGAGCGGCAUCGUUUUUAUAUUAAAGCUACGGUGGUGAAAGAUGAGUAUGCGUUCUAUUAGCUAGUUGGAGAGGUAACGGCUCCCCAAGGCGACGAUAGAUAGGGGUUCUGAGAGGGAUGUCCCCCACACUGGUACUGAGAUACGGACCAGACUCCUACGGGAGGCAGCAGUGAGGAAUAUUGGACAAUGGUCGGAAGACUGAUCCAGCCAUGCCGCGUGCAGGAUGAAGGUCCUAUGGAUUGUAAACUGCUUUUGUAAGGGAAGAAUAAGGAGUACGUGUACUUUGAUGACGGUACCUUACGAAUAAGCAUCGGCUAACUCCGUGCCAGCAGCCGCGGUAAUACGGAGGAUGCGAGCGUUAUCUCGGAAUCAUUGGGUUUAAAGGGUCCGUAGGCGGGCUGAUAAGUCAGAGGUGAAAGCGCUUAGCUCAACUAAGCAACUGCCUUUGAAACUGUCAGUCUUGAAUGAUUGUGAAGUAGUUGGAUGUGUAGUGUAGCGGUGAAAUGCUUAGAUAUUACACAGAACACCGAUAGCCUAAGGCUUAUUACUAACAAUUUAUUGACGCUGAUGGACGAAAGCGUGUGGAGCGAACAGGAUAGAUACCCUUGGUAGUCCAAGGCGAAAUCCACAUGUAUAUCAAGCUUAGCGAGACCGCCGACCUCCAGGGGGCCGGUACCCGCCUUUGGUCCAUUGUGGGGGAACAUAAAAAGCUA
rnacentral:rRNA from 1 species